rnacentral:rRNA from 1 species
AUUGAACGCUGGCGGAAUGCUUUACACAUGCAAGUCGAACGGCAGCACGGACUUCGGUCUGGUGGCGAGUGGCGAACGGGUGUGUAAUGUAUCGGAACGUGCCCAGUCGUGGGGGAUAACGUAGUGAAAAUUACGCUAAUACCGCAUACGAUCUAUGGAUGAAAGCGGGGGAUCGCAAGACCUCGCGCGAUUGGAGCGGCCGAUAUCAGAUUAGGUAGUUGGUGGGAUAAAGGCCCACCAAGCCAACGAUCUGUAGCUGGUCUGAGAGGACGACCAGCCACACUGGAACUGAGACACGGUCCAGACUCCUACGGGAGGCAGCAGUGGGGAAUUUUGGACAAUGGGCGAAAGCCUGAUCCAGCCAUUCCGCGUGCAGGAUGAAGGCCCUCGGGUUGUAAACUGCUUUUGUACAGAACGAAAAGGUUUCUACUAAUACUAGGAGCUCAUGACGGUACUGUAAGAAUAAGCACCGGCUAACUACGUGCCAGCCGCCGCGGUAA